AAAAAGUGAAGUUACAAACAUUCGUACUAUCAGUGGAAGACGAAACCCGCAGACAACCAAGCGGCAAACAAAAAUAAACAGGCGAAAGAAGUGUGGGAAUAUUCCUUGUUCUAACAAGAUGAGGCCACAAACAUUCGUAUAAAAGUGAAAGACGACGCUCGCUCGACAGACGAAUGAAGUGUGUGAAUAUGAUCGCACACCAAGACGACUGCGAAACCUGCGGAAAUACAAACAAAAAAACCAGAAGAAUGAGAGCGUGAAUAUUCCUCGUUCUAAAAAAUUGAGGCCACAAGCAUUUGUGUAAGUGUGGAGGACGACGCUCGAUCGCACAACAAACAGACUGCUUAAACAGACGAAUGAACUGUGUGAAUAUUUCUCGUUCUAAAAAAUGAGGACACAAACAUUCGUAUGAGUGUGAAGGACGACGCUCGAUGCACACCAAAACAGGCGAAUGAAAGUGUGAGCCACAGUUUUGUGAUCAUGUUCUUGAACGAAGACAGUGCAGUUAGUUCAAGAAUGUAAUAGAAGCCAAAAGGAAAAUCUUUAGAGGUUGCAAGCAGAAACUGAUUUUCCCGAAAAUAUGGCUCUGUAUGUGUGCUACAACUUAGUUGGUCUUAGUCAAUAACCCCUGUAUGCAGUCAGGUUGUAACAUUUAUUUCUCUGAUAGGACUGGAUUUCAGGGAGACUGCUCACAGAAGCGUGCGGGAUGCGGUAUAGGAACCCAGAAACACUUGCUGACAAGUAAGAGAUCAAAUGACAAGCUGGGCUAGAUGAUCUGCCACAACGCUGGAAAACCUCGGUGACCUGGAACUAGAACGGCAAUUUGGAUCAGCAAUCAAGACACCUGAAGAAUGUAAAAUGAAUAGAAAUUAUUUUAUACUUUGUUAAGGGAGGUAGGUAAAACCAACGUUUGGUUGCUUCAGUAGCGCUAGCGUAAGCGUUCUUUAAGUUACUUGACUGAUCAUCCUUGUUAAACUGCAGUUUAUGAAGUGUGAACACAGAUGUUUCUAGCGUGCGUGAGUAUCCCAGGACGCAAGAUAUUUUUUCUCACACUUGCGCGCGUCCUUUAAACUAGCGUCUCAUAUAACUUGUAGCUCUUAAUUGUUUCUUAGAAAUGAUAAAUUUGUUACUAUGUAGAAUCUCCUGAGUGCAUUUUAAGUGUUUUACGCCAUCUUACACAAGCAAUCAAAGCUGCGAGGCCUUGAGAGGAACACAGCUGUGGUUAGUCUUGUAACUACAAGAUCGCUGUAGGUUUUCAUAGAGCUAUGGGUAGCCUGCGAACAGGCCCCCGGCGAGUCCGAAUUAAGCAGGUUUUAGAUCAAACUCUUGGUGAUAAAACUUAACUUUGAGAGUUUUAGUGUGCGACAUUUGCACUUGUCGACCACUUGUAACAGGUGAAAAGCGCGGGAAACCGUUCAAGAAACCAAUUCAUUGAUGGUGUUGCUUUUGUGUCUGAUUGGCCGAGAAAAUGACACGUUUGUUCUGACUGGGCGGACCAAUUUGUAUUUUGAACCAAUCACAGAGCUCAGCAGUGUACUGUUAACAGAUUAUCAUGUCGUGAAAAUCGUUCUUACUCUUUCAUCCUCACGACUGAUAGCUUCUAUUUUCUCCCUACAUUUUCACGACAAUUUUCACGACAAGGUUGUGUGAGUAAACGAGCUGAUCAUCAGAGGAAAGAUGAAAGAUGUAUUGACUUAAACUCAUUUCUCCCAAAGAGAAUUAUAGAAAAUUGAGUAAAAUAGUAAGGAGAAUUAAUUUUCUGAUCAUGUCACCAACUGUCUGCAAGCGUGCAGCAGCUGGUUUGGUCUUGUGAGGAAAACUUCAAGGAACACUUCAUUUAAAAAAUAAGUGUAUUUUUGAAUUAUUUACUUCUUUGUCACUAGUCUUUGACAAUUUCUUUUGCACUGUCAGAAAGGACAAAGUUGUUGAAGAAUUGUUUUUUACAACGACGGAGAGCAACAACAGAAAAUUGUGAUUGUGAAAUUCAGGUUACAUUUAGCUGUAAGCUGCUGUAGAAUUUAUUCAGCUAUGGGUUGUGUAGCAUGGCCACAGAUAGUUUGUAGCGGUUAUAAUAGAUACAAUAUAUUAAUUAUUUUUGGAUCCAGUAGUUAACACAAAGUAGCUGGAGGCAGUGGUUUAAAAUUUAUAAGACGUCUUAGUGUAUCUGUUGAACCUCGAGUGUAAAUAAGCAAGUUAAUGACGCUCUUUGUCAGGGAUAACGAAGAAUAAGUGUGCAGUUACAUUUUGUGAUUCAACUAUUGUUACUAAUAAACGGUAAUAAUUUUACAUGAGA